UAGGGAAUCUUCGGCAAUGGACGAAAGUCUGACCGAGCAACGCCGCGUGAGUGAAGAAGGUUUUCGGAUCGUAAAACUCUGUUGUUAGAGAAGAACAAGGACGUUAGUAACUGAACGUCCCCUGACGGUAUCUAACCAGAAAGCCACGGCUAACUACGUGCCAGCAGCCGCGGUAAUACGUAGGUGGCAAGCGUUGUCCGGAUUUAUUGGGCGUAAAGCGAGCGCAGGCGGUUUCUUAAGUCUGAUGUGAAAGCCCCGGGCUCAACCGGGGAGGGUCAUUGGAAACUGGGGGUCUUGAGUGCAGAAGAGGAGAGUAGAAUUCCAUGUGUAGGGGUGAAAUGCGUAGAUAUAUGGAGGAACACCAGUGGCGAAGGCGGAUCUCUGGUCUGUAACUGACGCUGAGGCGCGAAAGCGUGGGGAGCAAACAGG
rnacentral:rRNA from 1 species